CUGAGCUGUUUUGAGAAUUCUCGCCAGAGCACAGUAAAAAAGAAGUCUGCCUUACAACGUGAACUGGGCAGUGUUUAAAGCUCCUAAUUCUUACUCUCAGGGAGGGAAACUCCCACAUUUGGAUUACAUUUAAGGGUCAUUCUACCAGACUGACAGAUAUUGACGGAAAACAGUAAUUUCAGGAUCCCUGAAAUGGCACAUUACAUUAAUAUUCUGAAGAUUCCCAAGUGUUUUCAAAUCCUUGUAAUAAAACCUGGCAAAAUUACCAUCAGAGAGCUCUGACAGCAAGAACAAGCCUAUUUCCUGGCCAGGCUCUAGCGUCCCCAGCGAGAUCAGGAACUCAACUGGCUCUUCCAGAGGAACAUCUAGCCAAGGAUGGCUCUCCUCCCCGCAGGAGGGUGACAAAAGAGGAGAACAUGUGAACCAAAACCAGCUAUGACUCCCUGAUUCUCUACCCCAGCUCCAGCCCAGGUGAGAACAACCUGCAGACUACUGUAACCUGCACCAACUAGUUAUCCCCAAAGGACAGUGCCCCAGCUGGAGAUAGCCAGUGUGCAGCGUGCCCCCUCUUCUACUUCCCCCCCCCCGCCUCUGCACCAGGGCAGCAUGAAGAGAGAGGAACUUCGAGGUCCAAGGAAUUACUCCGGAUUUACACUGGGUGUAACUGAUAUCAGAAUCUGUCCUUAUUUGGAUGGUAUUCAGUAGGUGAUAAUCUUUGUACAGGCCCUCCGCACUUAGCUGAAUAGCACCCUUGUGCAUAUCUACAGUAGUACAGUUCACAGGCCCAGUUCUGCAUAAAAAGGAACAUCUUCCUCUGUGAAUCAACUGCCCUUUAUUUUAUUUUUAUUAUGCAUCAGUGACUGAGGCUGCAUAAUUUGUCCCCAGAAUGCAGUAAAAGUGUUUUGAAUGUCAUGGCACCUGGGUACUUUUAUUAGCUAGAUUUAAAGUGUGUGCAUAUCCAUAGCAUUGUUUUUCUUCUUGUAAAAGUCAUGUAAGGCCUGACCUAUAUACAAAAGGAAAGCACCUGCUUUUUUAUAUGCACUGUGCAAAUAUAAAAUGUCCUUCUGCUAGCUGCAUGCCAAACUGGAGACUGGUGGUGUCAAUUACUA